GGUGUUUGUAGUAGCAAUUUGCUGCGAUCUUGAAUAUCGCCGCCGAUGUGAUAAGGCAAACCACAAUUAGCAAAUGAAAUAAACUGCCCCCGUUCAAAUAUGAUAAUUUCUGCAUCUUCACUUAAACGACGAGCUCUGGCUGCGGCAGAUGCGCCACCUGCGACGCCAC
rnacentral:antisense_RNA from 1 species